rnacentral:tRNA from 1 species
AUUGGGAUGGCAGAGCCUGGACAAUUGCAAAAGACCUAAGCCCUUUUUACCGGAGGUUCAAGUCCUCCUCCCAAUU